UACGGAGGGAGCUAGCGUUGUUCGGAUCUACUGGGCGUAAAGCGCACGUAGGCGGCGCAGCAAGUCAGGGGUGAAAUCCCGGAGCUCAACUCCGGAACUGCCUUUGAAACUGCAGUGCUAGAAUCCUGGAGAGGCGAGUGGAAUUCCGAGUGUAGAGGUGAAAUUCGUAGAUAUUCGGAAGAACACCAGUGGCGAAGGCGACUCGCUGGACAGGUAUUGACGCUGAGGUGCGAAAGCGUGGGGAGCAAACAGG
rnacentral:rRNA from 1 species